GCUUAGUAUUCCGUUUGAUAGAAAUUCCCUGCCCAUUCCAAGUUUAAAAUGCACGCUUCAGCUCAUCUGCAGUACGCAAAGGAGAAGCCAGUGCUUGAGCGUCGAAGGGUCUCCGUGGAGUCCACUGCAUGACCGACGUCAGCACUCUCUCCUCUCCUGUUCAGUCACUGCAUGCAUCCGGCCCAGUAUGAACGUGCCCGGUGGCCCCGCCCCAAUGGCGUAGAUUACUUCAUUUCACGCCCACCCCCCAAAGGACUGUAUUCAUAUCUUUAUGGUGACUGUGGCCUUCGUGUUACUCUUUGCUAACUUUGAUCUUCUACUUGGGGAUGACGAUACAAGACAUCAGACCUCUGAGUAGCUUGAGCAAAGCCAGCAGCAAAGCAAGGUCAGAUGAUCUCACUGUUUCAGCCGGAGAAGCAGGUUCCCUCAUGAGACUGGAGGGGCUGCUUUCUAGGGUAGUCAGCUUUAAGGGGGCCAAUGCUUAAAGGCAGGGAGGGAGGGGCUCAGAUGAGAGUGAGGAGCUCGGACAUUCGGGAGGGGCUCAGAGUGGAGCCGCAUGGAAAGGAGCCAGUAGAGGUGGUUCAGGUGUCUAUCUAGGACGCCUCCUGGACGGCUCCCCGGGGAGGUGUUUCAGGCAUGUCCACCCAGGAGGAGGCCCCGGGGCGGACCCAGGACACUCUGCAGAGAAUGCAUCUCUCGGCUGGCCUGGGAGCGCCUUGGUUUUCCCCCGGAGGAGCUGGAGGAGGUGGCUGGGGGGGAGAGGGAGGUCUGGGGAUCUCUGCUUAGACUGCUGCCCCCGCAACCAGACCCCAGGUGUCGGUAAAUGGAUGGAAAUUUUAUGUCACGUAUUUUUCAUAAUUCUUUUAUUCAAUGAAUUGAAGAGAGUGUUGCGCCCUGGACAAGAUAGAAAUCCAAAUUAUAAAGAAUAAAAUGUCAUGUGCUGUAUUUUAAGGAUGUUAAUCCUUCGAAAAGCAGUCGAUAU